rnacentral:rRNA from 1 species
UACGUAAGGUGCAAGCGUUAAUCGGAAUUACUGGGCGUAAAACGUGCGCAGGCGGCUUUGCAAGACAGAUGUGAAAUCCCCGGGCUCAACCUGGGAACUGCAUUUGUGACUGCGAGGCUAGAGUACGGUAGAGGGGGAUGGAAUUCCGCGUGUAGCAGUGAAAUGCGUAGAUAUGCGGAGGAACACCGAUGGCGAAGGCAAUCCCCUGGACCUGUACUGACGCUCAUGCACGAAAGCGUGGGGAGCAAACAGG